rnacentral:tRNA from 1 species
UGGCUCAGUGGUGAAGAGCACUGACUGCUCUUCCAGAGGACCUGGGUUCAAUUCCCAG